rnacentral:lncRNA from 1 species
AUGUCCUCUGUCUCCCUACAGCAGUCAGAUCGUACUCCUCUCCUGAAGGCCAUGCCUUUGCACAUCACUCUGUUUCACAGGACUCUACAGCUGGUUGAAACAUCUCAUGCUAAGAGGGAAGAGUCUCUCUGGGCAGAGGAGAAUGGUGCAGUGAUUGGUGAGGGUGGCAGUCACUUCCAGAGCUGCUCACAGGAGAUGGGUGCCAAGCAGAUGUGUCUCCCCUUAAACCCUCCUCUGCUGCCUUUGCCCCCAGGGCAGCACUGGCACACUGGAUCCUGAACAACCCCAAAAUGUGUCCCAGUGCUCCCCAUGCAGGAUUUCCAGGCCAAUGAGAGAUGUGGGACAAUGUCAUGGGCUGGAUCUCACUCCUGGUGUUCGAAGUGACCUACCCCUGGCUGCUGGAUGAAACAGGCAAUAAAAAUUCUUAACCUGUAAUUUUCCA